AGAGAGAGACAUGCGCGCAUAUCAAUAAGCGGAGGAAAAGAAACUAACAAGGAUUCCCUUAGUAACGGCGAGUGAAGCGGGAAGAGCUCAAAUUUGAAAUCUUCAAGGUUCUACCUUGACGAAUUGUAGUUUAUAGAAGUGUUUUCUGUUAGUGGAGUGGCAAAAGUUCUUUGGAAUAGGACAUCAUAGAGGGUGAGAAUCCCGUAUUUGGUCAUUCCUCCUAGCGUUGUGAUACACUUUCAACGAGUCGGAUUGUUUGGGAAUGCAGUCCAAAAUGGGUGGUAAAUUUCAUCUAAAGCUAAAUAUUGGCGAGAGACCGAUAGCGAACAAGUACCGUGAGGGAAAGAUGAAAGGAACUUUGAAAAGAGAGUUAAACAGUACGUGAAAUUGUCAAAAGGGAAGCGUUUGACACCAGUGUUGUUUUCUCGAAAAUCAAUUAAGAAGAUUUUGAUUUUGAGGUUGUAUUGACUUUAUCAGGCUUCAGCCUCCUUUUCUUACGUAACUUUUUAAUGCACUUUUCGGUUAACAAGUCAACAUCAAUUUCUUUUGUUGUAAAAGGGUCAUUGAGGAAGGUGGCUUUCUUUUCGGAGAAAGUGUUUAUAGCCUUGUGCCUCUGCAAUCGGAGAGAUUGAGGUCUGCCGCGUAGAUCCUUCGGGGUUAGAUACAGUUUGUGCUAAGUUAUAGCUUUUCAUAGACAACUUGUUGACUAUGUUUAGUCUUGUAGCUUACUCGCUGAUGCUAUUUUACCUACGCUUAGGAUGUUGAUAGUCACAGCGUGUAC
rnacentral:rRNA from 1 species